UACACCUUUGAUGAUGCCUGACGUUCGGUUCGGUCGGCCUGACUGCUUGCUUGCUUGCUUCCCUGCCUGCCUGUCUUACCGCCGAUAAAAUACGCGCAAUCUCCCGGUUAAUAUCAUCGUCCGAUUCGGUUGUGCGUUAAUCCCUGUCACAAGUCACGUAGCGCAAAACGACGGUCGCAUGUGGGUUUUACUCGUUUUACUCCCAAGCAUGUACGUACACGGUUUGAGACUGGGACGAGGAGACGACGGUCAGUUACUACAGCGAAUGGGUUUAUUGAAAGUGUGCAAUUGGCCGCGCCAACGGAGCGACGAGACGACGAUGAGAACGGGCCGAUUCAAUUCGAGAUGACGAGGCUGAAGUCUGUAACGUUAACGUAACGCGAAAUAUCUGGGGAAAAAAUCGUCGUUGCACAGUUUUAGAAUGACUUUUGAAAUAGUAAGCUUUUCGAAUAUAAGAGUACAUGUUUUGUUUACCGUGGUUUACUAAAUUGCAGACAUUACUGAUAAAUGGUGCAAGGUAACGAUUUUUCCUUAACAUGCAUCGUUGCAGUAACGUUACCAACUUCACGCUCGUUAUUCGAGGCGGGUCUUCUUCCGUAACGAAGCUCGUAAUCGCGGGGGAUCAGCUCGUCUCCUUGUGCUAUUUUCGAGGCCGUAGGUUCACGACGCGAUUUCUGAACCGAGUUUCGCGAGGUUAAAACUGUUCUUCUUCUUCUUUUUCUUCAUCUUCUCCUUCUUCUUCGAGAAAGCAAGAGAGGAGGGGAUAGAGAGUGGAGAUUAAAGGCCGAAGAUUAACGCCGGUCAACAGUAAAACUCAAGCCAGCGUAGACAAGAGCCGCGCUACCUAAGUUCGAAGAGCCCCGCAACGCAGGAACGGCGGCUCCAGCCAUCCAGCGGCUGUCCGACCAAGAGUCAGAAGAAACAAGAAAACCGAGACGGCGGCGGCCUCGAGCGUCGCCUUAUGUAUAGUACACGCAACGACGUGUGUAAAUAUCGAUGCGUCAGCGUUAAUCUUGGAAUAACUUCGAAUGAACGAAGCGCGGCUGAUGCUUGCACGGAAGCUACAGCCGGACCGAAGGAGUGCGGAUCGAGUAAACACGCGGUGAAGAGACGGUGACGGGUGAUCGGAUCGUGAUGCCGAUUUUCACUUUUCGAUACACAGGCAUAUGUGUGGUCUUCGACGAGACGAAGCAUGACGCCACCGAUGUGAAGUUCCCCCUUAACCCGGAGGCUUCUCUCGACCUGGAGAUCGGUCACGAAGACGCGCAGCACCCAGCUGCCGUCGACCUCGUGUCCGUCGGAGUACAUCCUGUUUAGCUGACGAUGGCCUGCGAGCCGAGAUAUAUACCUGCGAGCGAGCGAGCGAGUGAGCGAUUCCGGAUUUCAACGUUCGACGCACUUUGCCCGGCUGCCUGCCUUCUUCUCUUCCCUCUUCCCUCUUCCUCUGAGCCUUUGUUACGCUCUUCGAAUCAAAUCUCGCACUAUAAUCAUGGCUGGAAUUUCUCUUCGUGUAAAACUUUAUCGAACGACGAGAACAAAA